AGUAUCCAAAGAUAAUGGCUGGGUUUAAUGUUGGAGUUGAAACAAAUCUUACAUCCCCUCCUCCUGGAGCCCAUGUAUCAUACACACCACCUACAAACAGAGCUUUAAUAACUAGUAAAAAUGAUCCAAUACCGAGUAAAAUUAAAUGGAUCCCCAAAAUUGUGGUCAUUUUGUUUUUAUCUCUCCA
rnacentral:antisense_RNA from 1 species